AUGGCAGCACAAAGAAGCGAACUGGCAUCAUUAAAUUAAGAAUUUUAUGUAGGUAGCUCUGGUAUUAACAGCUGUUUUUUGUUCACAAGUUCACAACCACUUCUUCAAUACUUCGUUGGAAAUAAAAAUCAAGUCCGGAAACGCAAACCAGAAAACGAAGUGAAAAAAUGGACAGAGGAUGAAAUAAAUAAGAAACCAACCGCCCAACUGUAUGACAAAAAAUUGUUGGAAGAAACCAAAAUCGAUGCGACUUGGAAUAUGCUGAAAUGCAAAGUUCGCCACCUAAAAGGCACCUUGCAAAACGUCGAUGGAUGGAGCGACUCUACCGGCGCUGGACUGGGGGAUGACGAAAAUUUAACUACCAUUAGA